rnacentral:tRNA from 1 species
CAAUAGCUCAGUCGGUUAGAGCAGCGGACUCAUAAUCCGCCGGUCGCCGGUUCAAGCCCGGCUUGGG